AAAACACACUAAAAAGUUAAGCCAUAUUAUAAAUCCGAGAAUUAGUGGCGUUUUUCUAAAAAAAACGUCGCAAAAGGCCUUCAUUUUUUAUACCGAUUAAAAUCCCGCUUACUCCCUCUUCUUCUCAUCUUUGUCGCGCUCCCUAAAUCCCAGAAUAAAAGUUUGUACUUAAUUAUUUUUCCCUUUUAAUCUCAAAAUUUGCCCCCAAAUUUCCCAGUUCUUUUUCCUUUUCAUUUCACGGCACCGAAUUCACUCACCAUAGCUACUCCUUUUCUCUCAAUCUGUUAGGGUUUCUUUUAAUUUUAGAUUUUCAAGGGAACGUACAGUUUCCUUUUAAUUUUGCUGGUGAUUUCUAUGGCGACGGAAACCCUAGAUGACAAGAAAUCGGAGGAAGAGGAGGUGAAAGAUAAAGAAAACGAAGAGGGAAGUAAGGAGGAAGUCACUGCCAAAUUAUUGGAAUUUUUGGAAUCCCCUCAUGCUACUACAGAUGUUCUUCUUGCUGACAAGGAACAGAAGGGUAAACAGCGUAAGGCUACACCAAGCAAAAAUAUUGGUUCUGCGGAGGCAUUGGAUACAUCAGCCAAGACAUGCAAGUGAAAAUGCAACUUUGGUUUUGAAUGUUAAGACAUUUAAAGAUGUCAAAGGCUGUGAUGAUGCAAAACAAGAGCUUGAAGAAGUAGUGGAGUAUCUCAAAAACCCAUCAAAGUUCAUUAUAAAUGGUGCAAGCAUGAAGGUAGGCUUUUUAAAUUUUUUCGCUCAAGGAUUAGUUUCUGUUCGAUAACAUCUUGCUCUGCAUGGCCGGAAACCCUCAAGAAAGAACAUAUCGUGACAACGAUGUUUGUUGGAAACUUCAUCGGCAUUAUAUUCGCCCGUUCAUUACAUUAUCAAUUCUACUCGUGGUAUUUCUAUAGUUUGCCUCACCUUCUGUGGAUAACACCUUUCCCUACGUUGCAUCGUGUGUUGAUUUUCGUAGGAAUCGAGCUGUGCUGGAUUGUAUUUCCAUCAAACUUCUUAUGAAUUGCAAUAAUAUCUUGCAGAGAAAGAUGGAGAAGUCAAGUAAGGUGCAGUUUCAUGAACUUUUCUAGAAAUACAAGGUGUUUAAAGUGUAAGCAGAGGGCCGAAAGAGGGUUGCUACGGAUGAUGUUCGAAUGAAGAAAGGGGAUUGGAACUGCCCAGGGAACAUCGACACCUGUGUUUCAGUUCUCGUCACAUAGUUUUUGGAUUCUAGCUUGCAAGUGGCACAAUACGUCUCCUCUUCAUUUACUUUCUUCAUCUUAUGAUGGGAAAGUAAUGUUGUGGGAUCUAAAAAUAGCAGUAUCGUUUUGUAUUUUCUGCAUUCUCAUAAUUUAACUGUAUAUUGUUUUUCUGGAUAUUGUUUUGAUGAUUACUUUUUGUGUGGCAAUAGCUCUUUUAUGUUUUGACUGGUGGCAAAUGGAAUAGGAAAAACCAAUUACACUAGAUUGCGAUCUAAGAACAAUCUGCAGAAGGCACAUAAUGACUAGCUCUUACCUCUACGAUUGCUUGUGGGAGGCAUUGCAGCAGUGAAUAAGGAUGAUAACAUGCAGUUGACACUGUAUGUGCUCUGAAUCCGAAUUCAGGUGUGACUCUUAGAUAUUUUAUGUGCAAAAAAGUAUUAGAGUGCCUUAUGUUUGUAUGUUAGUUAAGUAGAUUAUAGAUAGAACCUGCAAUAGGAUCAACUAAUUAGUUGAUCAAAAACUACACCCUAUUUUGUAAUCGUCUACUUUGCAUAUUUGCAUAUACUUAAUAAUAAUCUCGUGUCAACUAA